AACCAUACGCUGUGCGUAUGGUUCUAAAAGCUUAUAGCUAUACGUAGAAAAAGCAAAACCUCCUUUGCUAUACUAAGCACAGGUUCGCCAACCGUACUUAGAGCAAAGGA
rnacentral:sRNA from 1 species